rfam:Schizophyllum commune H4-8 unplaced genomic scaffold SCHCOscaffold_8, whole genome shotgun sequence.
GCAUUAAUGGGGUAGUGGUAACCUGGGUCGUUGCCAUUCGAAGUUAUCGAUUAACUUCGACCCGCCGGGGGUUCGAUUCCCCCUUAAUGCA